rnacentral:rRNA from 1 species
GAUGAACGCUGGCGGCGUGCCUAAUACAUGCAAGUCGAGCGAACAGAUAAGGAGCUUGCUCCUUUGACGUUAGCGGCGGACGGGUGAGUAACACGUGGAUAACCUACCUAUAAGACUGGGAUAACUUCGGGAAACCGGAGCUAAUACCGGAUAACAUAUUGAACCGCAUGGUUCAAUAGUGAAAGGCGGCUUUGCUGUCACUUAUAGAUGGAUCCGCGCCGUAUUAGCUAGUUGGUAAGGUAACGGCUUACCAAGGCAACGAUACGUAGCCGACCUGAGAGGGUGAUCGGCCACACUGGAACUGAGACACGGUCCAGACUCCUACGGGAGGCAGCAGUAGGGAAUCUUCCGCAAUGGGCGAAAGCCUGACGGAGCAACGCCGCGUGAGUGAUGAAGGUCUUCGGAUCGUAAAACUCUGUUAUCAGGGAAGAACAAAUGUGUAAGUAACUGUGCACAUCUUAACGGUACCUGAUCAGAAAGCCACGGCUAACUACGUG